rnacentral:rRNA from 1 species
AACGAACGCUGGCGGCAUGCCUAACACAUGCAAGUCGAACGAGACCUUCGGGUCUAGUGGCGCACGGGUGCGUAACGCGUGGGAACCUGCCCUUAGGUUCGGAAUAACUCCCCGAAAGGGGUGCUAAUACCGGAUAAUGUCUUCGGACCAAAGAUUUAUCGCCUUUGGAUGGGCCCGCGUUGGAUUAGCUAGUUGGUAGGGUAAAAGCCUACCAAGGCGAAGAUCCAUAGCUGGUCUGAGAGGAUGAUCAGCCACACUGGGACUGAGACACGGCCCAGACUCCUACGGGAGGCAGCAGUGGGGAAUAUUGGACAAUGGGCGAAAGCCUGAUCCAGCAAUGCCGCGUGAGUGAUGAAGGCCUUAGGGUUGUAAAGCUCUUUUACCCGGGAUGAUAAUGACAGUACCGGGAGAAUAAGCUCCGGCUAACUCCGUG